rnacentral:lncRNA from 1 species
GCAGAGCUCAAAGGCCUGUGUGCUUCCACACAAAGGGAUUUGUUUGUUUGUGUGUUUGGUUCCUGCAGGUGCCAGAGCAGUGCUGUGGGCUCAGUGGCCCGUCCUGAGGGGGGGACAGGGCAGGUUGUCCCCAGGGCACCGUGGGGCCGGUGCUGGUGUGAGCAGUGCUGCUCGCUGGGCACACUGCUGCUCCCGGAGCAGCUGCUCCUGCUGAUCCUGCAGCUGGAUUUUGGUGUUUCUGAGGAGCUGGCAGUGCUGGAGGAGGCCGAGCAGCUCCUGGCGCAGGAGCCUGUUCUCUGCUUUCACCUGUUCCACGUGCUGGAUCAGAGCCUUGAACGCCACCUCCUGCGCUCCCCAGGUGAGCUCCUGCAUCCUCUGCUGGAACUGCUGCUCACAGUCAGCCUUUUCCUGCAGGAACUUGCUCCUGACGGCGUGGCUUUCCUCGGCACAGCGUAUCCUGGUGACCCGCAGCUCCUUCUCCAGCGCCUUCACCUUCUGCUCCGCCUGGACCUUCUGCUCCUUGUAGGGCUCCAGCUCCUCCAGCUCUGUGUCCAGGAGCGAGGCCUCGGCCUCCGUGUCCUUCAGGGCACCCCUCACCUCCCGCUCCUUGCCAGCAUACCGUGGGGUCAGCUCCUCCUUCUGCUCCUGGAUUCGGGCCAGAUCCUGGCAGUUCUGGUGGCUGAGGGUGAUGAUCAUUUCCGGGGGGUCCUGGCUGAGCUUUGCUCCGCAGGACAGGUAGGACUGGCUCUGCUCCUGAGUGUCCUGGCCUUCCUUUUCCAGGCGUUUGUUUCCGUGCAGGAGCUGCUCUGCUCUCCCCAGGGCCUCUCCAUCCUUGCUUUUCGUUGUUUUGGAUGCCAUAUCCCAGCCAAGACGUGAAAAACUGAAACAGAAGGAAAAACCAGCUCAGAGUGAACAUUUUUGCCCCAGUCCUGCCCUUGUGUUUCCAGCUGGUUCUUCCAUCUGCUCAAUAUGUUUAACCCAAAACUGUUUGGGGUGGAAGCGCAGUUGCUGUACCUGGAUUUGCAUUUCCCAUCCUGAAUUGCCUCAGGAGAAAACCAAAAAUGCACAUUUUUAAAGAUUUCUCUUUUUUGCCAUGGAAUGUUGGGAUAUUCCUGUGGUUUGGAGGAAGAAAUGCAAGUCUGCCCCUUUCCUCCCCCGCUGAUUCCAGUGUUUGAAGAGGCAGCUGCAUCCCAAACCAGAAUCUCCUCUCUAAAACCAGUAUCUCACAUCCCAAUUUCAGGACAUUCUCUUUAAAAAAAAAAUAAUUAUCAGCAUUAAUUUAAUGAGGUUCAGGUUUUAAAACACUUUUUAAGCAUUAAUUUCAGGAUUGGCUGAAUUCCUGAACUAUUUAUUCCAGUGUAAAAUGCUGGAAUUCAGGAUUUAGAGCUGACAGGUCCGAUAGUUUUGGUGAAUAUUUGUAAUUAAAAAUUCCCAUUUCCUAAUACAACUCAUGUCAAUUCUUAAGGAAAAAAAAUUGCAAAAUUCCUGGAGAUGGAUGACAAGCAGAAUAAAUCCAUGAACUCCCAGCA